CCGUUUCGAACUACGGUUUCGUUCGAAUGUGGAUGAUGACAGUUCUAACGUUUGAGGUACAUUAACAGUCAGCCAGUUAUGAACAGAGAUUCUAUAAACUAGAUACCAGUCACCAUUCAAGAAUCAGCCAUGGACAUCCAUUUUUGGAGUCAUUCAAGAGAGACAGGGUAACGGAACUAACCAUAUUAAAGUACAGAGUAGAAAAACGGACUCCUCUUAACAUCAAUGGAGCGCCUUUUACGAUCUUAAACGUUCACUUGGAUUGCGUUUUAGAGCAGAUAUUCUGGUGUGACAAUCCUGAUUCACGACAAAUAUAAAGAGAAAAUGUAGCAAGUUUACUCUGGGUACACCAGACAGCUGUUGUCUAUCAUGACGAAGGUCCUGGAACCAUCAGGAUUUUUUCCGGUGCAGGAAAUCUUCUAAAAAUAUUAAUCUAGGUGUGGCUCGUAAGGAUGUUCAGUGGCCUGCUAAAGGACCUGAAAGAAACAUAAAAUAGGCAUUCUUUGGUCUACGAAUUCAUUGACGUCAAAAUAUAAAUUAAAAAAAAUGUACGUUAACCCUUUACACCCAACAUCAGUAUGCAUAUUCUCCAUACUGUUUCCUAUACAUUUCCUGAGGUGAUGAUCAAGAGAAUUUGUGUAACAAUCAAGAGCUUAUAUAUUUGGUGAUCAUUUCCUUUACUCUCGUGACUCUGGUGUAUGACUCAGGGUUGAUAUCGUGAAGAAAAAUUAGCUGCCAGCCAACCACAUGCGAAACCAUCUGAGAAAGUAAAGCACUUUGUUUGUUUUUUUUCAACUUGAGAUAAAUUCCGACGGACUUGUACUCUUUCUACUAUCGUAAAAAAUUAUGAAGUGUACGCUCUGUAAUGAUGUAUAAAAUGAACAUAUUGAAUACAGCUGAACAGCCUAAUGAAA